UUGAUCUUUCAACCUAUACACUGCUAAUUCACGGGCUUUGUAGAGCAGAUAGAUGCAAGUGGGCAUUCGAUCUGUUUGAGGAGAUGGUUGAUCAAGAUAUAGUACCUAUGUAUAGAACUUGCCGUUUGCUCUUGGAUGAAGUCAAACAGAAAAAUAUGUAUCAAGCUGUUGAGAAAAUUGAGAUAAGUGGGCAUUCGAUCUGUUUGAGGAGAUGGUUGAUCAAGAUAUAGUACCUAUGUAUAGAACUUGCCGUUUGCUCUUGGAUGAAGUCAAACAGAAAAAUAUGUAUCAAGCUGUUGAGAAAAUUGAGAUUCUUAUGAAGAACCUUUAAAUGCAAAUCU
rnacentral:lncRNA from 1 species